AUUGAACGCUGGCGGCAGGCCUAACACAUGCACGUCGAACGAGUGGCGGAAGGGCGAGCACUGUCUGGGAAACUGCCCGAUGGAGGGGGAUAUCCACUGGAAACGGUAGCUAACACCGCCUAUCAUCGGAUGUGACCAGAUGGUAUUAGAUAGUAGGCGGGGUAACGGCUCACAUAGGCAACGAUCCCUAGCUGGUCUGAGCGGACGACCAGCCACACUGGAACUGAGACACGGUCCAGACUCCUACGGGAGGCAGCAGUGGGAAAUAUUGCACAAUGGGCGUAAGCCUGAUGCAGCCAUGCCGCGUGUAUGAAGAAGGCCUUCGGGUUGUAAAGUACUUUCAGCGAGGAGGCGUUACUCGCAGAAGAAGCACCGGCUAACUCCGUGCCAGCAGCCGCGGUAAUAC
rnacentral:rRNA from 1 species